rnacentral:rRNA from 1 species
GACGAACGCUGGCGGCGUGCUUAACACAUGCAAGUCGAACGGAAAGGCCCUGCUUUUGCGGGGUGCUCGAGUGGCGAACGGGUGAGUAACACGUGAGUAACCUGCCCUUGACUUUGGGAUAACUUUAGGAAACUGGGGCUAAUACCGGAUAGGAGCUCCUGCUGCAUGUUGGGGGUUGGAAAGUUUCGGCGGUUGGGGAUGGACUCGCGGCUUAUCAGCUUGUUGGUGGGGUAGUGGCUUACCAAGGCUUUGACGGGUAGCUGGCCUGGGAGGGUGACCGGCCAAAUUGGGACUGGGAUACGGCCCAGACUCAUACGGGAGGCAGAGGUGGAGAAUAUUGCACAAUGGGCGGAGGCCUGAUGCAGCAACGCCGCGUGCGGGAUGACGGCCUUCGGGUUGUAAACCGCUUUCGCCUGUGACGAAGCGUGAGUGACGGUAAUGGGUAAAGAAGCACCGGCUAACUACGUG